rnacentral:lncRNA from 1 species
UUUCUGUUCCAUUGCUCUUUGUUGAAUCAAGCUGGUGAGACAGAGUGUAAUCUGUUUAGAGCUUGCUGUUUCUGUCAGAUCUCUUUUAUAAUUGAUUCAUACAAGGAAAUAAGAGACCUUUCAGAAUGCUUUUGGAAAAGUUAAAAAUUAUUGGCUUUGUUUGAAAUUUGGAAGCAUGGUUGCAUUGUCUGUGGUGAUCAGGAUGGUUAGAGCAUAAAUUUAUCGUCUUCAGUGUGUCUGGUCAUUGCAAGAAAAAUAUUAAAGCUUUAACACAACUUUAAAAGAAGCAGCUAUUCUCUUCACUUGUUAUUGGACUUGAAACUCCUUUGACCUCGGAAACUGAAGAUGAGGUUGCCAUGGGAACUGCUGGUACUGCAAUCAUUCAUGUUGUGCCUUGCAGGUAGAGUGUCAUUUUAAAACUUUUUGAUUUAAAAAAUGUCACUGUAUUUCACACUAAUUCAAAAGUGGGCCUUCACUUUAGAUGGCAAUGAUGAAAUCGUAAGCGAGCAGACCACUACGACUAGCAUUUGCUGACACUGUUGAAUACACUCUCCUGAUGGUCUUUUAGUGGCUCUUUUCAUGGUGUUGUAUCCAGUGCUAGACACUGAUGUUUCACCUAUCUAUCUGGUCCUUUUAGAGUCGUUUAAGCCAUUAUUUAGUUUGAAAGUUGUUAUUUUUGUUCAUUCCAGUGCUCAAUUGCACAGAGAUAUUGGGCAAUAAAAGAGAUAAUAUAGUCUAAAGUAUUGCCUACUUUGAUGUCAGUGGAUGGAAUUUUAUCUGGGUGAUUCUUUCAGUGUCUUUGUUGAUAUCACUCCCUCUUUUGAUAAUGACUUUUCUUUUUCAUUUCAGUACACCUCCAGUUUAAGAGGAGCCUGAAAGCAUAGACACUAGGUUUUCACCAUACAUUCAUGGUCCACUUCUAGACAAGGGCUUUAAAAGUUCAUAGAGUCUCUUGAUGACUUUCUCAGUUUUGUGGAAGAUGGAAAACUACUAGCUGACACACGUAACUGGGUGUUGAUGAAGCCUAAAUCCAGCAUGCACUGAGGGUUGAUUUCCAGGUUAGGAUGGUGAGCAUCUUUCUAGGUCUUUCUGAAAUGAGUCUUAUUGGCCAGCUUUGUUAUUCAGAGUGUCAGGUCCAUGAGGGACACCUGAAAUAUAUUUGUAUUUUUACAACAGAAUACAAAAAUGACUUUGGGCUCAUCAUCUUAAUUCAGGCAUUCAUUAGAAUAAUAUCACAGAGUACCUUACAGAGCCAGCUCUGUGUUUGUACCUAUGACAUUCUAAUGGGUCUGUGGCAUCCAGAUGUCUCUUUUAGAAAUAUUAUUUCUCUCCCUCAUCUGGAAGAAGUUAAAUCUCACCCCCUUUUCCCCAUAAAUACCUCAGGCUCUGCACUUCAUUCCUUUUCACUAGACUUCUCAUGUACUUGACCCUCCCAAAAGUCCUCAACUGAGACAUUCUGGCUCUAACUUUUCAUGACUCUAGGAGAAACAUAUUCUUGAAAGCCUAACAUAAUGAGUCAGUUUCUCAGUAUUUGACCACAGCAGUGUGUUUAUUUAAUCCACUGUGCUACAUAGAUGAUACAAAAUUUAAGGGUUGAAAAUCAAGGAAGACAUUAGUCUCCUGAGUUGUGUUUUGAAAAACUCAGAAUUCUCACCUAAGAUGUGUACCUGUAUCUUUUUUUAUUCACUUAGCUUUUUCUAGGAAAUCAGUAUAUUGACUUUUUUUUGGGGGGGGGGAAUGAGUCUCUUCUGUGAACUAUUUUACAUGGCAUUAAUAUUCUCUUACCAUAUGCCUCCUUCAGUUUAGGUAAAGUCAAGCUGUAAUUAAUGUUUUUGUUUUCUUGCUAUUUGUCUUGAUUUCAUUAAUUUACAUAGCACUCAACACUCUGAAUUUUGAGCAGAUUUCCUUAACUGCUCAUUCUUUUCCUUUUCUAUACUUCCUUAGUAAUAUAUUUAUUGGUGAAUUUUUGGCAAGGGAAAUAAUUAGGUUUUAUCAUAAUUCAUGAAUUUCAAAUGUGCUUUCUCCUGAUCUUUUCCCCCUAAAUAAGAUAGAAUAUCCAACUGUAUAAGCAGCGUCCCCCUGCAGGGGAUACAUCUUGAAAGGUCUGCUAAUUAUUUAAGGAAUCGAUCCGCCAUUUAUGGUCCUAUGGAAAUGUUCUUUUUUACCAAUGCUAGACUCAGUCUCUGACAAUGAUUUUCAAAAAAAUAAAAGACAAGACUGUGGAUGCAAGUAGUCUAAAAAUUCAGUCCCUUCAAAAUUGGUUUCCCUCUUCUCCCUCUGAAUCAAUUUAAACAGGGAACACAAAACGCAGCUACCUGGAAGAACAAGGAAGCUAACAAAUGAACAAAACAUUCUUAAAGGACUAGUGACUCCUGCUUACAACAGAGUGCUGGUGACUGGAAAACUAGACAAAUCAUGUCCCAUUAGAGUAUCAAUCAUAUAUGCUCUGGUCUUAUAUGCCAGGUCUCCCAGUUUUGUGAGUUUUUUUUUUUUUCUCCUAAUUCUUUAACAUUGCCAACCAACUCAAAUUAAUUUUUAAAAUAAAACUAAAAAGGAUCUGUGAAACAAACCAAAGUGAUCGUCAGGUGAGAUGUUGCUUCCAGCCCAUGAGGUUGCAGUCUGUUUCAGGCAUUUUGUUUUUCUUUGUUUCUAGACACUUAGGGUCAUUGUACUGACUCCUCCUUUUCCCAACAGUGUUUUUGUCCAAAAUGGUAUAAGGUCAUCCUAUCUCUUACCCUCUACCCUUCUUUGAAUUUGUGCUCGAAUACCACCUAAUUUAUAAGGAUUUUCUUGACCACAGUAAAUAAAUCAAAAUCAAAUGGCAAUAAUUCCUCCCACUAACAUUUUAUACCCCUUUUAUUUGAUCUUUCUUAAGAGUUCUUAUCAAUAUGUGAAUAACCAUAUAUUUUAUUUGUCUCCAUGCUGAAUUUCUUCCCCCACCACACUGAAGCUUUAUUAAGGCUGGCAUUUCUAUCUUUUUAGUUAAUUGCUAUCUACCCAACAUCUUCCAAAUGCCUACCUACAUAGUGUCAUCCACUAAAUAAACAUAUGUCAAAUGAACAAAUACUGUAUCCUGGCCAGACAUGAGAGACAGAGAAAUCCAGUCUCUGAUUCUAAGCUGUACUGUGCACACAAGGCAUGUAGUCACCUUGAUGUUAAGGCAGUGAACUCACUACCUUUGAGGUUAAUUCAUACAAAUAUGGCUUUUUAAAUUAGAUUUCAAUAUAUAAAGUAUUAAAAUUGGGAGUUCCCAUUGUGGCUCAGCAGAAAUGAACCUGACUAGUAUCCAUGAACUAGUAGUAGGGUUUGAUCCCUGACCCCACUCAGUGGGUUAAGGAUCCAGCAUUGCCACAAGCUGUGAUAUAGGUCACACCUGUGGCUUAGAUCUGGUGUUGCUGUGGCUAUGGCAUAGGCAGCAGCUGCAGCUCUAAUUCAAACCCUAGCCUGGGAACUUCCAUAUACCUCGGGUGCAGCCUUAAAAAGAAAAUAAAAGAUUAAAAUUGGUUAGCAUGCCUUGAACUCUGUAUCAGAGGUUCUUGGUGCAACACCUCAUCACCUGUUUCUGCUGUCAAGCACAGCUAGGACGACUGUCCCUGCUCUGGAUUAUUCUGCCUCAAGUCAUUCUCUAAAGUCACAAGCAAGGGGAACUAUGAAAAAUUAACUCCCUUCUUCGGUGCAGUCCUCAAAUAAUGGGGCAUGAGAAUCAGUGGAUAAAUGCCUCAGAGCCUGUCAUUUGGAAGGAGAUGCCUCAGCACAUCCUACAGGCUUCCUAUACCGUCCCCAGCAAGCCUGAAUCUCAGUUGCCCACAAUUCCACUAUCUCCUUCUCACUCCCACUUUGUGGAAUCACCUUCCAAACAAACUGACUGUUUCCAGAUCCUUCUCUUAGGCUCUGCUUUGGGUGGAAUCCAAACCAAAAACAUGCCCACAGCAGUUAGUAGCAGAGAAGCAGCCCAGCAUCAGUCACAUUGGUAAUUAGGAUGAAACCAGAUAAAAAACAUGGUUUUUGCAGAGAUUGUUGAAGUGUUGACUGCGAUGUGGACCCACACGUGUCUAUGCAUGUGGGUACUUACAUGAGUACUCGCAUGUAUGCCUCUGUUUAGGUAUGCCUGUAAGUAUUAUCCAGGUGCUGCAACCAGGUAGUUUUAGUCUUUUACCCUUUUUACUAUUUACUAGUUUUAUUAUUAGCCAGCUUCUGGACAAGUCAUUUUUUGCCUCUCUGAGAUUCCAUUUACACCUCUGUGCAAUGAGGGUGUUAAACAGAUGGUCCAUAAAGUCCUUUUUAACUCUAAAAAUAUAUCAUUUUGACUAAACACAUAAUUUGAAAGUCAGAUAUAUAUGCUGAGAUGGUUAGAGCUAAGCUUGAAACUGUAUGCUACUAAUAGGGCAUUUCACAUAGGUCCUGCGCCUUACUGGGUGUUACCAAUUCUGUUCACAUUGGCAGAUUUGAAAGAAAGGAUAAAAUGGCUGGUCCAUAUCUACAUUGGGAGAAAGGGGCAUGAAGACAUUUAAAAAUCCUCUGUGAGUGGGUGAAAGAAAAAUGUAUGUUUGGUGUAUUCUCAGUUGAACUUCAUUUCAGAGAGGCUAAAUUUAUUCCCAUCUCUGUGGUGCAGUUUACCAACUUCAGCAAUUAUUUCUUUUUGAGAAAGUGCAUCCUUUCCAAAUGGAAGCAUUUUUUUUUAUUUGUUCACAAAAAUCUCUGCUGCUGUUACAGCUGCAUCUGGGAUAGGCAGUGGAGAAAAGGUCCUGUGUAAUUCAAGAGAGGCAUAUUCUGGGAUUAGUGCGUAUUUGCAAAAUUGGAACCAAAAGGAGUCUUGGGUUGAAUAGUUAAUCACAAGGAUGUAGCUCAAAUCUAUGAUUGUAAAAAAUGCAAACCAGGGGCCACUACCUGUAAUUAGAGCACACAGAGACACUGCCCAGUGGUUCUCAGAAGGCAUUUUCGGUGUAGGGUGUGUCCUAUCACUAAAACUCAAGUAGGCUUUUGACCAUUUUAUCUUAUUCUAGGGUUAGAGAAUGCAUGUGUACAGUAGGAUCCCCAGUAUUUAUUGAUUUUCUAGUAGUAGAACUCAAUAAGCACAAUCUGAUCAGGUCACCACUUCAUCAGACAUUCUUCCAAAGCUCAGGACCAGCCCUAAAGCCCCCCACCACCCACCGCUGCACGCCCCACCCCCACCCCCGCAUCGUGCACACAGAAAUUAAUUUUAAAGUAUGGCCUCACAACAUAACCAGGAAUAGUAUUUUAGUUCUCAAGAUUCUCAUCUUCUUUCCCCAGAAUAAAUGGAGGAACAGACAACUUUCAAAUAAUUCCAAUUCUAGACAUAUUAAACCUAGUACUGCCCUGUUUUUGCAAAAGUAACAAGUAUUCAAUUAAGAUCAAAAGAAAGUUGGGUAAAUGUCAGCUUUCAUACAGUUACUGCAAAGCCUAGUUCUGUACCGACCUCUUAUUUUAUUGUUUCUUUUUUUGAGAAACUGGCUGGCCAGUGAGUUUAUAGUCAUGCUGACUGCAGCCAAAGAAUGUAUUUUCUAUUUUCCUCUGUGCUGUCUCAUAACCAUGCCCAUGAAAUGAAGCCAAGGUAGUAGAAAGAUUUAACAAGAAGAAAAUUAAUAACUACAUUAAAAAGCAGUGACUCCAGUGAAGAAAAUUCAGGCAAAGAAUAGGGAGAUGUAUACCCAGAAAAUAAUAAACAGCAAAUGGAAAACUUCUUUUGAAUAUCAAUUUAAGUACUUAAGCACAUUUCUCGGUGGGAAAAAUAUUAAUCAGUAAUGAAGAUGUUGAGGUAAAUAGAGAAACUGGCAGCAAUUUUGCAUCCCCACCGGCAUGGACACAUAGUAGCAGUCGUACAAACCAAAAGUUAUUAGAAAUAUUCAAUUUAAGACCUCUCCUGGAGCAUAGUCAUUAAUGGCUUCAUUAGAUACACUCAACCAGGCUAGAUGUCUUAACUAUAAAUAAAACUCACUUAUUGGUAGAGUCUAGGACUUGUUCUGUCUUAAAAAAAAAAAAUGAUUGAACUCUUUUGAAUGAAACAGCUCAGGAAGCGAGGAGGAAUACAAGAGAAAAUGCAAGUACUAUGUAUAUUUAAUAUCAGAUGUGUGAUAAUGUAAUGACUCUGUGGGGCUUUCCUGGACCAGGCCUUUGACCCCAUAUCCUCUGCUUUAGCUCCUCUCUGAAGUACUUAAAUAAGAGUAAUUUCCUGAGUUGUUUUACAAAUGUGAAUAUCCUUGCCCACCAAAUGGAAGAAGUGAACUACUUGAUAACCAUGGGUGUAUAGACCCCAGGCCUUCUAGAACCAAAGGAUUGAUAAUGUUAACCCCUGUGACACCACCCUGUUACCUCCCCAUCAGCCAACCAGAGAACUGUGCACAAGCUGAUCACUUACCCUUAGACCCCUCUCCCUCACCUGCACUUUAAAAGUGCUUUACAGUAUUGGUUGGGGGACCUCGUGCUUUUAGGGGGGCACAAGCCACUUGUCUCCAUGCAUGGUCUUGCAAUAAAUCUUCCUCUGUUCCAGACUCUGACAUUUCAAUUUGUUUGGCCUCACUGUGCAUCGGGUAUAGGAAUAUACACUAACUAUAUUGCUUUGUUGAAAUGUGGAAUGAGGAAAUUCCUAUUAUGGUUCAAGGGUAACGAACCCGACUAGUAUCCAUAAGAACCAGGGUUCUAUCCCUAGCUCGUUCAGUGGAAUGAGGAUCCAGCAUUACUGUGAGAUGUGGUGUAGGUCACAGAUGUGGUUCGGAUCUGGUGUUGGCUGUGGCUGUGGCUGCAGCUGGCAGCUACAGCUCCCAUUUGACCCUCAGCCUGGAAAUUUCUUUAUGCCAUGGUUGUGGCCCUAUAAAAGAAAUAAAGAGAGAGAGAGAAAGGAAAGAAGGAAGGGAGGAUAGGGAA